GAAAUGCGAUAAGUAAUGUGAAUUGCAGAAUUCAGUGAAUCAUCGAAUCUUUGAACGCACAUUGCGCCCCCUGGCAUUCCGGGGGGCAUGCCUGUUCGAGCGUCAUUGUAACCCUCAAGCGUAGCUUGGUAUUGGGCGUCGCCUCUCGCGAGGCGUGCCUGAAAAGCAGUGGGUGUCCGGUGUGACUUUGGGCGUAGUAAAUUUUUCUCCCGCUCUGAAAGGAUCACCGUGGCGCCCAGAACCCUCCAGAAAAUUGACCUCGGAUCAGGUAGGGAUACCCGCUGAACUUAA
rnacentral:misc_RNA from 1 species